rnacentral:rRNA from 1 species
UACAGAGGGGCAAGCGUUAUUCGGAAUUAUUGGGCGUAAAGGGCGCGUAGGCGGCCUGGCAAGUGGAAGGUGAAAUCCCUCGGCUUAACCGAGGAACUGCCUUCCAAACUGCUUGGCUUGAGUCCGGGAGAGGUGAGUGGAAUUCCCAGUGUAGCGGUGAAAUGCGUAGAUAUUGGGAGGAACACCAGUGGCGAAGGCGGCUCACUGGACCGGAACUGACGCUGAUGCGCGAAAGCGUGGGGAGCAAACGGG